CUCUGUGGGAUCAGUGGCGAACGGGUGAGUAACACGUGAGCAACCUGCCCCUGACUCUGGGAUAAGCGCUGGAAACGGCGUCUAAUACUGGAUAUGUGACGUGACCGCAUGGUCUGCGUCUGGAAAGAAUUUCGGUUGGGGAUGGGCUCGCGGCCUAUCAGCUUGUUGGUGAGGUAAUGGCUCACCAAGGCGUCGACGGGUAGCCGGCCUGAGAGGGUGACCGGCCACACUGGGACUGAGACACGGCCCAGACUCCUACGGGAGGCAGCAGUGGGGAAUAUUGCACAAUGGGCGCAAGCCUGAUGCAGCAACGCCGCGUGAGGGAUGACGGCCUUCGGGUUGUAAACCUCUUUUAGCAGGGAAGAAGCGAAAGUGACGGUACCUGCAGAAAAAGCGCCGGCUAACUACGUGCCAGCAGCCGCGGUAAUACGUAGGGCGCAAGCGUUAUCCGGAAUUAUUGGGCGUAAAGAGCUCGUAGGCGGUUUGUCGCGUCUGCUGUGAAAUCCCGAGGCUCAACCUCGGGCCUGCAGUGGGUACGGGCAGACUAGAGUGCGGUAGGGGAGAUUGGAAUUCCUGGUGUAGCGGUGGAAUGCGCAGAUAUCAGGAGGAACACCGAUGGCGAAGGCAGAUCUCUGGGCCGUAACUGACGCUGAGGAGCGAAAGGGUGGGGAGCAAACAGGCUUAGAUACCCUGGUAGUCCACCCCGUAAACGUUGGGAACUAGUUGUGGGGUCCAUUCCACGGAUUCCGUGACGCAGCUAACGCAUUAAGUUCCCCGCCUGGGGAGUACGGCCGCAAGGCUAAAACUCAAAGGAAUUGACGGGGACCCGCACAAGCGGCGGAGCAUGCGGAUUAAUUCGAUGCAACGCGAGAACCUUACCAAGGCUUGACAUAUACGAGAACGGGCCAGAAAUGGUCAACUCUUGGACACUCGUAACAGGUGUGCAUGGUUGUCGUCAGCUCGUGUCGUGAGAUGUUGGGUUAAGUCCCGCAACGAGCG
rnacentral:rRNA from 1 species